rnacentral:rRNA from 1 species
AUUGAACGCUGGCGGCAGGCCUAACACAUGCAAGUCGAGCGAGCGGCGGACGGGUGAGUAAUGUCUGGGAAACUGCCUGAUGGAGGGGGGUAACUACUGGAAACGGUAGCUAAUACCGCAUACCAUCAGAUGUGCCCAGAUGGGAUUAGCUGGUAGGUGGGGUAAUGGCUCACCUAGGCGACGAUCCCUAGCUGGUCUGAGAGGUUGACCAGCCACACUGGAACUGGGACACGGUCCAGACUCCUACGGGAGGCAGCGGUGGGGAAGAUUGCACAAUGGGCGCAAGCCGGAUGAAGCCAUGCGGCGGGUGUGAAGAAGGCCUUCGGGUUGUAAAGCACUUUCAGCGGGGAGGCGUUACCCGCAGAAGAAGCACCGGCUAACUCCGUGCCAGCAGCCGCGGUAAUAC